rfam:Methanospirillum hungatei JF-1, complete genome.
AGCCCGAUAGUGUAGAGGUCAAUCAUACAAGGCUCUGGACCUUGUGACAGCAGUUCGAAUCUGCUUCGGGCUA